GGACUACCAGGGUUUCUAAUCCCAUUCGCUACCCACGCUUUCGUCCUAGCAGUGUCAGGUGGCACCCAGUGCUCUGCCUUCGCUUUCGGUGUUCCGAAUGAUAUCAACGCAUUUCACUACUACACCAUUCGUUCCAAGCACCUCUUUGCCCCUCUAGUUUUGCAGUAUUUUGAGCAAACUCAGAAGUUAAGCUUCUGGCUUUUACCCAAAACUUUCAAAACCACCUAUCGGCACGCUUUACGCCCAAUGAUUCCGGAUAACGCUUGAGGUCUCUGUAUUACCGCGGCUGCUGGCAC
rnacentral:rRNA from 1 species